rnacentral:tRNA from 1 species
CCCUGGGUAGUGCAAGUGGUUAACACGUUCAGCUGCUAACUGAAAGGUUGAAGGUUCAAGUCCCCCCAGAGG